GACGAACGCUGGCGGCGUGCUUAACACAUGCAAGUCGAACGGAAAGGCCCUGCUUUUGUGGGGUGCUCGAGUGGCGAACGGGUGAGUAACACGUGAGUAACCUGCCCUUGACUUUGGGAUAACUUCAGGAAACUGGGGCUAAUACCGGAUAGGAGCUCCUGCUGCAUGGUGGGGGUUGGAAAGUUUCGGCGGUUGGGGAUGGACUCGCGGCUUAUCAGCUUGUUGGUUGGGUAGUGGCUUACCAAGGCUUUGACGGGUAGCCGGCCUGAGAGGGUGACCGGCCACAUGGGGACUGAGAUACGGCCCAGACUCCUACGGGAGGCAGCAGUGGGGAAUAUUGCACAAUGGGCGGAAGCCUGAUGAAGAAACGCCGCGUGCGGGAUGACGGCCUUCGGGUUGUAAACCGCUUUCGCCUGUGACGAAGCGUGAGUGACGGUAAUGGGUAAAGAAGCACCGGCUAACUACGUG
rnacentral:rRNA from 1 species